ensembl:lncRNA
GGUCUUAAUCUUCAAGUCUUUAAUGAUAUCACACAAGAGGAACUUCUGAUUGUUACACUUUGUUUGGAGGUAGAAUAAAUGACUGUGAUCCAGCUAAGUCAUGAAUCUGGGGCUUGGAAAGACCACUAUUCUCUCCACAGGCAGCUUACAGUGUGAAAGCACACUAGAUAUGAGAUGUUAAAUCUUAAAGCACUGCACUGCUACAUGUUUAUCUUCUAGUUGUGUUUUCUGCAGCCCUGUGGAGCAAGCAUUAACAUUCCUAUUUUUGAAGUGAAGGAAAAUGAAGCAGAAAAAGAAAUAGCAGGGAACUCUUGACUUUCUGAGGGAUAGUGGGAGGAAGGAAAUGAAGCAGAAGAGCAGAGCAGAAAUUACUGUAGCAAUGUAAGAUGCGCCGUGCUCUUUUUAGCUGACCUUUCAAGAGGGAAAGAGUGAAACCUCCACUGCCUUACAAGCCAAAUUCUCAGACUGAUGUCAGUUCACCUAAUGCUGGGGAAGGGAAAACUUAGCUUAUGUUGCAUUGAAGUGGGAGGGGGACUUGCAUGAUUCAUUCCACAGCAGGGUCACUAUCUCAAGUGACCCUGUCAAGCUUAUUCUAACCAGCAAAUGAUGUAGCGAUUGAGUAAGUAAUUCUGUAAAUCUGCAUUCACAAUCUUAAGAAGCUCUUUUCAAAAUUGACAUAUGUUCUACAGAGGUUCAUCCUUUUAUGUACAUUUCUGGUCUAACAACUGCAUGUUUACUGUUCUUGUUCUUGUUCAUCUGUUCUUGUUCAUCUGUUGGGUCUUAAUCCAGAGAACAGAAGCAAGAUGGAUCAUGGGACGGGGACUUCAGUGCUCAGUGUUUUUGAUCUGCCAGGACACACCUUAGCUGAUCAUGCUCAAACCACUGGGUGAGAUUCUCAAUAGUGCUUGCUAAUUUCUACUGAAGUGAUUGAGGCACUUGCACAGUUCUGUGGGCCUUGGCUUUGGUUCCCUUUGUGCAAAGUAAUGGUUAUAAUAAUACUUUCUUUGGCUGACCGGUCUGUUUAGAGUAUGUUAGUCAAUGCAGAGAGACAAUAGGAACUCCCUUUCAGUGCAGAAGGAAUAGUAGAAUCCAAAAUCCACUGAAAUUAUUAGAAGUCUUUUCCAUCUUGGAUCAUGCCCUGUGUACUUAAGAUAAGUUUUCAGCUAACAUUUCUAACGCAAGGAACUGUGAAAGAAGGACCUGAACUGGUGCAAAGAGAACUCUUUUCUUUGAUUAACAAAUCUCUCCAAAUUACACUUUGGCAAAACUUGCUGUUAGUCCUAGUUCUGGGAAAAUGUGGGUAUCCCAAAGGCCAGCUGACAGUCUUGCAGACUGUCAUCAAAAGAACUUAUUAUUAUCAAGGCAAUGGACAAAAUUAUUCAAAUAUUGCUGAAUUUACCAUAUAAGGGAUAUUGGAUUCAAAACUGGACUGGUCUGUGACUGUCAGUGUGAUUUAAUAGACUCCAUGCAGCAGGUUCCAAAUCUGCAAUAAUUCAUUCUCCUGCCCCUGAUUAAGGUCUUGGAUCCAUACAACUCUCACAUUCAAUUACAUUCUUCUCAGUUAAAAACACGUCUUUAAUCAAGCACUGGACAGCCACAAUUAGAAGAAUCAGAUGUUCUAAUGAAAGAAAGGAGUUGUAGGUGAUGCCAGCAGAGCUCACACAAAGCACGCUGAAAAGGCAGGCAAGCUGAUGGCUAGAAAAGUUUCUGUCUCUUCUCUUUACCACCCCUCCCCUCUCCUGCUGACAUUUUCUAACUCAGUAGAAGCUGCCAAAUCGCAGAUGGUUGUGGGGCCUGAGUGAAUCAGAAUAAAACAAGGAAGCUAGUAUUUGUAGGAGAGAUUGGAACAACAACAAAUAAGACUGACCUAAUUAUUCAAGCAUGGUCAGACAUAAUGCCAAACUGCAUCUUCUGAUAUUUGCCGUGUGAUUUAUAUACCAGUAUGUACUGCAGAAUACAGUCAAAAAAUGCUGAAUUCCCUUUUCUCUCUUCUGUUGUGAAUCUAGUAGCUUUUAGUGUUCUGAAUCCACUGAGUCCAGAAUUUUGCUAUAUCAAAUGCCUCAAACUUAAUUUACGGGGGACAGCAAUACCAAAUCAGAUAAUGUUUGCUCAUGAAAUCAUAAAUAUAGAUAUUUUAUUACCAAGAUUUUAAAUUGCUAGGCAACCAAUAUUCCAUUUUGAUGAAGAUGUGAUACUGCAUGCUGGGACUUACAGUUUCAGUACUGUAUCAAUGUAUGGAAGUAAAGGACCAACACACUGUUGACAACAGUUGGUUCCUAGGUUCAUUUUGCCAUCACUUUUGCUACCCUUUCUGACGCUUUGUUAUUGAAGGACCGUGCUGGAGAAAAAGUAUGGAUAUAGGUUCGGUCCCUGAGUUUAGAGAACACAGGAAGAGGAGGGGAAUGCUGAGUCACAGACAAGACUCAGCCAAGCACUGAUUCUGCCCUCCUGACUCUCUGGCGUUAGAAUAAUCUCCUCCAGCAUCAGGACUGCUGCUGCA